rnacentral:lncRNA from 1 species
CAAACGACCCAAGCUCCCAUCGACCGUGUCAAAAACAACGCCGAUAAACCACAUCCUUAGACCACCACUGGCGCGCGAGUUAGAUUCCUGAUCAGCUUCUAUCUCGUAAAACAUCCCGAGUAUGAGCGAUAUAAAUUGCUCCUAUAACCGAACCGAAGUAAAAGUUCGACUAUCAACGUGUAGCUAAUUAUCUCGUAUUGACUUGAUGAUUCGUUGGGAUUAUAUAUAUUUUCAACACCUUUACACAAAAACAAAAUAUUUACAUAAACCGGAGUCGACACAAAAUAAACGACCAGACCCACGUCAAAAAAAGAAAAAAAAAACACACACACACAUAAAUGUAUUCAUCAUACAAGUCCAAUCCACCACGUCAAUAGGAACUCUUCAUACUUCUCGGAAUCAUAAAUCAUAUUGACAAGCCACAAGCUCCAUCCAAAUCACGU